UACAGGGGGUGCAAACGUUGCUCGGAAUUAUUGGGCGUAAAGCGCGCGUAGGCGGCUACUUAAGUCGGAUGUGAAAGCCCUUGGCUCAACUGAGGAAGUGCACCCGAAACUGAGUGGCUAGAGUACGAAAGAGGGUCGCGGAAUUCCCGGUGUAGAGGUGAAAUUCGUAGAUAUCGGGAGGAACACCAGUGGCGAAGGCGGCGAUCUGGGAAGAUACUGACGCUGAGGUGCGAAAGCGUGGGGAGCAAACAGG
rnacentral:rRNA from 1 species